AACCUGGUUGAUCCUGCCAGUAGUCAUACACUUACUUUAAAGAUUAAGCCAUGCAUGUCUUAAUGCUUUGUUUUUGUAACAUUAGAUUGCGGACGGCUCAUUAUAACAGUUUUUAUUUAAUUGAUAUUAUUUUUUAGGUGGAUACGCGUGGUAAUUCUAGAGCUAAUACAUGUCAUAAAAAUUGUAUACUUUUUUAUAUGAUUUAUAUUGUUUAUGUUUUUGAAAAUCAACAUGUUACGGCAUAAUGGUGGAUGAUUCCUAAUUAUCAAUUUUGUAUCGCAUUUUAACAUUGCGACUAAUCAUUUUUGAAUCUGACCUAUCAGUUAGUACGUACUGUAUUGGACUACUGAGGCGUUGACGGGUAACAGAGAAUUAGGGUUCUGUUCCGGAGAGGGAGCCUGAGAAAUAGCUACUACAUCUAAGGAAGGCAGCAGGCGCGUAAAUUACCCAAUUUUGAUAAAGAGAGGUAGUGACAAGAAAUCACAAUAUUUUUCCUUAGGGUUAAAUAAUUGUAUUGAGAACAGUGUACCAAUUUUACCGAUAAACUAUUGGAGGGCAAGUCUGGUGCCAGCAGCCGCGGUAAUUCCAGCUCCAAUAGUGUAUGCUAACAUUGUUGCAGUUAAAAAGCUCGUAGUCGAAUUUUUAAGGGGAUCAAUUUUGUGUGGUCUCAAAUGACCGCAAGAAAUAUGAUUUUUCUUACUCCAUUUUUUUUCACCAAUGGAAUUCAUUUUCUGAUAGUGAAGUAAGUUUGAAUUUACUUUGAGAAAAUUAGAGUGUUCAAAACAGUCCGUCUCACGGCUGAUUAGGAAAGCAUGGAAUGAUGAGUAACGACAGUGGUUAAAAUUUUUUUUGGUUUUCAGUGGCCAGUGUAAUGAUGACUAAAGUUAGUCGGAGGUAUUAGUAUUUUGUCGUUAGAAGUGAAAUUCUGGGAUCGAUAAAAGACGAACAACUGCGAAGGCAGAGGCCUAGAAUUUACUUUUUGAUCAAGAACGUAAGUUGGGGGAUCGAAGACGAUCAGAUACCGUCGUAGUCUCAACUUUAAACUAUACCGUCUAGGGGUUGGCACACGUUUUUUUGACUUUGUCAGAACCUUAUGAGAAAUCAAAGCGUUUGGGUUCCGGGGGGAGUAUGGUCGCAAGGCUGAAACUUAAAGGAAUUGACGGAAGGGCACCACAAGGUGUGGAUCCUGUGGCUUAAUUUGACUCAACACUGGGAAACUCACCAGGUCCGGACAUAGGUAGGACUGACAGAUUGAUAGUUCUUUCUUGAUUCUAUGGGUGGUGGUGCAUGGCCGUUCUUAGUUGGUGGAGUGAUUUGUCUGGUUAAUUCCGUUAACGAACGAGACUAUCAUUUGCUAAAUAGCAGUAAUUUUUUAAUAAAAAUUUGUGCUUCUUAGAAGGACUGGCUUUGCCUAAAUUGCUGGAAGUUGGUAGCAAUAACAGGUCUGUGAUGCCCUUAGAUGUUCUGGGCAGCGCACGGGCUACAAUAGGAGAGUAACUGAGUUUGUUCAACAUUGUUUGAGAAGAACUGUGGAAUCUUAAAACUCUUCUUUAUAUGGAAUCACGCUUUGCAACUUUACCGUGUAAACUAGGAAUACCUAGUAAGUGUUUGUCAUCAACGUACGCUGAAUACGUCCCUGCCCUUUGUACACACCGCCCGUCGCUCCUACCGAUUGGAUGAGUUGGUGAGUGGAUUGGAGAAACUGCUGUCUUGCUGCAAGAUUGGUGUACUUUUUUAAAAUUUGCAAAUUAAAUUUUCUAGAGGAAGGAGAAGUCGUAACAAGGUUUCCGUAGGUGAACCUGCAGAAGGAUCA
rnacentral:rRNA from 1 species